rnacentral:rRNA from 1 species
GCGGCCUACGGGGCGCAGCAGUGAGGAAUAUUGGUCAAUGGCCGGAAGGCUGAACCAGCCAAGCCGCGUGAAGGACGAAGGUGCCAAGCAUUGUAAACUUCUUUUGUCAAGGGACAAAAUCAGGCUCGAGAGCCUGACCGAGGGUACUUGAAGAAAAAGCAUCGGCUAACUCCGUGCCAGCAGCCGCGGUAAUAUGGAGGAUGCGAGCGUUAUCCGGAUUUAUUGGGUUUAAAGGGUGCGUAGGCGGGCUGUUAAGUCAGCGGUAAAAUCCCGGGGCUCAACCCCGGCGAGCCGUUGCAACUGGG